GGGCUGUCGAUCGUGGUGGUGGUCGCCGCGGCCGCCCUCGCCCUAGAAAAAGCAAGCCUCCCAAUCCCCGGACCGAUCGCGCCGCCACCGCCCUAAAAAUGGACCUCCCUCCAGCGGAAUUAAUCCUCCAACCGCCCGCGACAACGAUGACAAAAACCGAAUCACUCAACCCCCGCUCCUCUCAAAAGCGAUAAAAAUCCCACGACCGCGUCCGCCCUGCCUCGCCGAUCGAUCGAAUCAAUCCCCCCGGAGCCAGAUGCUCGAGUCGAAAUCGGGCCGUCUCGUCUCGCGCAGCGCAACUUGGAAGACGAAGAAAAUUUCAAAACUCCGCGCAUUAAUCGCCGCUCACCAAAAAAGAGAAGUGAGAAGGAAAAAAAAUUCCCGCGACGCCGCUUUAUAGCCGCCCCCGCCCACGGAGGCGGCGGCGGCAAGGGCAGGGCAAGC
rnacentral:lncRNA from 1 species